GGAAUAUUGGACAAUGGGGGCAACCCUGAUCCAGCGAUGCCGCGUGUGUGAAGACGGCCUGCUGGUUGUAAAGCACUUUUGUUGGGGAAGAGCGGAUGUAGGUUAAGAGCUAAUGUCUGAGACGUUACCCACAGAAAAAGCACCGGCUAACUCUGUGCCAGCAGCCGCGGUAAGACCGAGGGUGCAAGCGUUAAUCGGACUUACUGGGCGUAAAGGGUGCGUAGGUGGUUGAUUAAGAGAGAUGUGAAAGACCCAUGCUUAACAUGGGGGAGUCAUUUUUAACUGAUUGACUAGAGUUCACUAGAGGGAAGGGGAAUUUCCGGAGUAGCGGUGAAAUGCGUAGAUAUCGGAAAGAACACCGGUGGCGAAGGCGCCUUUCUGGAGUGAAACUGACACUGAGGCACGAAAGCGUGGGUAGCGAAC
rnacentral:rRNA from 1 species